GCCGGGUUAGCUCAGUUGGUAGAGCAGCUGAUUUGUAAUCAGUUGGUCGGGGGUUCGAUUCCUCUGCCCGGCA
rnacentral:tRNA from 1 species